GGAAAGUAAGCGAUUGGCUAGCAGGUAUCUUGGAACGGUACUAAGGGUGUUACAGCCCGGCUGGGUUCGAUUCCCAGGCUUUCCGC
rnacentral:tRNA from 2 species